UCGAGCUUUGUAGCACGCCUUGCCUGGUAGGCAGAGGAAUGGUUAUCUGCAUUGUUUUGAGAAGGUCCUGGCCGUAGACCAGUGUGCGUACUCGAAGACAUGCAAGGAUUUUGCCAUAAGGCUGAGUUUGGUUGUGAAAAAGAAAUUGCAAGGCUGUCAGAAUAGUUCCC